UCCCCCGCGCGCUCUGCCCAUUGGCUCCCGCCGUGAAGGUGGGCGGGGCGAGAACCGCCGGACCUCGCCAGCGCCUCCCAAUGGGUGGGAGGCCCCUCGAGGGGGUGGGAUCAAGAAGAAUGGCAGGCGACCAUUGGAGAAUACGGCCGUCAGUCAGGGCUCAAGGUGGAAACGACCCGGGAAGUCUGGGGAGGAGAGACACGGUGAAACCACGUGACGACGCCCGAGCCAGUGGGCGAGUUACCCUCCUGCGUGGGAGAAGCCAUUUUGAGAGUGGGACAUCACGCUUCCAGGUUCGGGGGUCAGGAAGUGGACACAUGGUUUCAAGAGCCGCCUGUCGAACCACGACCCCCCUGGGACCGGGACCAGCCUCACAGAGCUGCUGGCAGGCCCUCCACGAUUGCAGGGGUGGGGGAGCAGCUCCUCUGUCUGCACCCUGCUCGCCCCAGCUUUGCCAGCCAGCUGCCUCUCAUCAAUGAUUGAUGGAGAACGAGGGCGUGUGAUCAUCUUGCAAUUGUUAAAGAAUUUUGAAAAGGAUACUUCUCUGUGGCAGGAGCAAGGAGGUUGGGGGGGGCCAAAUGAGGGUGGAGGGCCAGCAUCCAGCGUCCCCAGGGGUUGGAGGCUGGGUCUUGUUUCUCUUUUUUGAUCCGAUGGAGGUGCCUCUGUUUCUCCCCCUUUGUCAAAAUAAGGAGCUGCGCUAAGCCUGUGUCAUCUUCCUCCCCAUGGGCUUCCCCUCCUGUUUCGAAUGGAAAUGGCUGAAUAGUUUCAGAAUGUUUGUUCCUGUGUUUGUUUAUUCAUUGCCUUGAUUACAGGCGUGAGAGAUGAGGCCAGGGGCCAGGGCAGGUGGGUGUGGGCUGUAUGUCUCCAACCCCUCUAGGCCUCCCAGUCUCUCUGACCCAUUGUCCAGAUUUCUGUUGGACUGAUCUGGGCGUCUCAGCAUCAGAGAGGCUCCCGCAGCCCCUCCAAGUGGAGCCCUGCCCUCCUCGCCCAGCUCGGGCAGAACUGAAAGGGUUUACUCUACUCUGAGAAUCUUCACCUCUGAGUCUGUCUUCUACCGCCUGAUGGGAUCCAUCCAGGAGCAGCUGACUCCCCUGCCCCUCAUUAGGGUGGGAGCCCCUCCUCCAUGACCCCAGACAGGUUCUGCUCAGCCCAGCCUUCAGUUCCCAGAGGGACCGCUGUCCUGCAAGGUGGGGUGUUCCCCAAUAUCCUUCCCCUGAAUUCUCCUGGUCAAGGCUUUUCCCGUCGCGACCCCAUCAGGGUGCAACCCCUCCCCUCCCCCAGCCCCAGGCUCUCAUGCCAACGUACAAACCUUAUCUGCUCAAACCAGCAGGCCAGCCUCCCCCCUCCCCCACUGUGUCCCCAGGUCCUGCCUGGGGCUGGAGCUGUCUCUCCAUCCUGAGCACCACCCCUCACCCUAACCCCAGCCCCAGCCCAAUCCCCACCCUGGGAGCUUAGCAGGGCCCUCCCUGCAUGCUUUCCUGUUUCAACUCUGAUCCUCUGAGUAGGAGACCGGUGCCCAGAGGAUGGAGACACCCUGUGUGGAGGGUCCGGACAGUGGGUUACCACGCAGCUGUGACGAAUCCUGGGCACCAGCCAGGGAGACCUCUGUUCCACAUACACGCACGAAGUUCAAGACCAAGCAAAACUCACCAAACGAUGCCACAGAUUGGGGCUGGGGGCAGGUCACUGCCGGGGUCAGGGGCUGAGAAGGGCAGGUCGGAGGCUGCCAGGGGCCCUGGGACGUUCUCUGGAUCUGGGGACUCAGGAACCCCAUGUGUGAAGUGCUUUGUGAUUGGGGUGUUUAGCUGACGUGGAAGGUGCAGCUCAGUAAAAGUUCUACUUAGAAAAUA